rnacentral:rRNA from 1 species
AAGCUCAUUACAACAGCUAUCAUUUACGUGAAUGUUCAUUCGUGUUUACACGGAUAACUGCGGUAAUUCUGGAGCUAAUACGUGCAGAUAAUGGAUGAACCGUCAAAAGUUUGUCCAGCACUUAUUACCUCAAAACUAUACUAGUUUUGUUGAUUCUGAAUAAUUCGUAUAGCAUAUMUCCUUCAUGGAAGAUGCUAAUUCACGCAAGUGUCUGACCUAUCAUGACUGUCAAUAGCACUAUAUGGUAGUGCUAUGGUGAUGACGGGUAACGGAGAAUUAGGGUUCGUCUCCGGAGAAAAUGCCUGAGAAACGGCGUUUACAUCCAAGGAAGGCAGCAGGCGCGAAAAUUACCCACUCUCAGUUCGAGGAGGUAGUGACUUGAAAUGACAAGGUCUAUUCCUUCAUAGGGAUGGACCAUUGGAAUGGAUUGGUUUUACAACCACCAUUGAUUAUCUAUGAGAGGGCAAGUCUGGUGCCAGCAGCCGCGGUAAUUCCAGCUCUCAUACUGCAUUGAAUUGUUGUUGCGGUUAAAAAGCUCGUAAUUGGAUCUGACAUGUCGAACUGGUUUAAAAUGUGUUUUUCACACAUUUUGAUACUAGCUAGCGUGUGUGAAUGUAAUUAUUUAUAUUUUGUGUUUAUUCACAAAAUAUUAGUUACAUUCGAGUACCUUGAGUAAAUCAAAGUGCUCAGUACAAGCGUUUAUCGCUUGAAUGGUUUUGCUGGGAAUAUCAAAACAAGACUUGGUAUUUGUUUUGAUGGUUUUCUUCAUACCAUGUAAUGAUUAAAAGGAACAAUUCGGGGGCAUUAGUAUCGCUGGGCGAGAGGUGAAAUUCGUGGACCCUAGCGAGACUAACAACAGCGAAAGCAUUUGCCAAGAAUGUUUUCAUUAAUCAAGAACGAAAGUCAGAGGAUCGAAGGCGAUUAGAUACCGCCCUAGUUCUGACCGUAAACUAUGCCAUCUAGUUGGAGACUAUUAGAUUAUUCUAACCGAUAAUCUCUUUAGACUCCGACUUGCCCGGAAACGAAAGUCUUUCGGUUCCGGGGGAAGUAUGGUUGCAAAGUUGAAACUUAAAGGGAUUGACGGAAGGUCACUACCAGAAAUGGAGCCUGUGGCUUAAUUUGACUCAACACGGGAAAACUUACUCGGUCUAGACACUAUGAUGAUUGACAGACCUUCAGCUCUUUCAAGAUUUGGUGAAAGGUGGUGCAUGGCCGUUCUUAGUUCGUGGAGUGAUUUGUCUGGUUAAUUCCGAUAACGAACGAGACUGGAACCUGACUUUUUGCUUGCAGGGUCAUGUGCUGAUGUGUGCAUGUGUAUUUGCAUAUGUGCGCAUCUAGCUGCGCUUGCAAGCUCCUAGUGGGAUUUCUGGUUUUUGAAUCUUAUGAAACCCAGCAAUAACAGGUCUGUUAUGCCCUCAGAUGUCUGAGGCUGCACGCGCGCUACAAUGGAAAUUGCAGCGCGUGUGCCUAAUCUUGAAAGAGCUUGGAGAACGAGUCAAGUUAUUCUGUGGUUGGGCUCGGAGUUUGUAACUAUUCUCCGUCAACUAGGAACUUCAAGUAAGUGUAAGUCAUCAGCUUACGCUGAUUACGUCCCUGUCCUUUGUACACACCGCCCGUCGCUGCCCGGGACUGAGUUGAUUCGAGAAAUGUGGGGACGUUUGUGUGAGGAGCGUUUACGUUUCUURCAUGAAUGAAACCACUUUGAUCGCGUUGGCUUGAACCGGGCAAAAGUCGUAACAAGGUAGC